UACAGAGACUGCAAGCGUUAUUCGGAUUCACUGGGCGUAAAGGGUGCGCAGGCGGCCAAGUGUGUGAGGCGUGAAAGCCCGGGGCUUAACCCCGGAAUUGCACCUCAAACCACAUGGCUAGAGCAUUGGAGAGGGUAGCAGAAUUCAUGGUGUAGCAGUGAAAUGCGUAGAUAUCAUGAGGAAUACCAGAGGCGAAGGCGGCUACCUGGACAAUUGCUGACGCUCAGGCACGAAAGCGCGGGGAGCAAAAGGG
rnacentral:rRNA from 1 species